rnacentral:rRNA from 1 species
UACGUAGGGCGCAAGCGUUGUCCGGAAUUAUUGGGCGUAAAGAGCUCGUAGGUGGUUUGUCGCGUCUGCCGUGAAAGCCCGGGGCUUAACUCCGGGUCUGCGGUGGAUACGGGCAGACUAGAGGCAGGUAGGGGAGAACGGAAUUCCCGGUGUAGCGGUGAAAUGCGCAGAUAUCGGGAGGAACACCGGUGGCGAAGGCGGUUCUCUGGGCCGAUACUGACGCUGAGACACGAAAGCGUGGGUAGCAAACAGG